rnacentral:rRNA from 1 species
AGUGAACGCUGGCGGUAGGCUUAACACAUGCAAGUCGAACGGCAGCACAGUAAGAGCUUGCUCUUAUGGGUGGCGAGUGGCGGACGGGUGAGGAAUAUAUCGGAAUCUACUUUUUCGUGGGGGAUAACGUAGGUAAACUUACGCUAAUACCGCAUACGACCUACGGUUGAAAGCAGUGGAUCUUCUGACCUUGUGCGAUUGAAUGAGCCGAUGUCGGAUUAGUUAGUUGGCGGGUUAAAUGCCCACCAAGGCGACGAUCCGUAGCUGGUCUGAGAGGAUGAUCGGCCGCACUGGAACUGAGACACGGUCCAUGCUCCUACGGGAGGCAGCAGUGUGGAAUAUUGGGCAAUGGGCGGAAGCCUGAUCCAACGGUACCGCGUGGGUGAAGGAGGCCUUCGGGUUGUAAAGCCGUUUUGUUGGGAAAGAAAAGCAGCAGGUUAAUACCACGCUGUUCUGACGGUACCCGAUGAAUAAGCACCGGCUAACUUCGUG